CUACCGCUUUUCUCCAUUGAAAUGUUAGGCAAAGCAGCUCUCUCGAGUCGCUCGCCUUUUCUACUCACUUCUAGAGGAUUUCACAAGCCAAAGGUGACUUACCUCGGCCGCUGAUCAUUUUGAACAGUUUGGGUCGCGCUACUGGACUUUUCUACCUAUAUACUCUGUUUUUCGUCUUUGACAAUGUUAUAUAUGUUAGAGAGAUGAAAGGAGAACCUUUUAAAGCUAUCUAGAAUGUUAUAUUUCCAUAAAUAAAAAAGAAAAUAACAAUUAUACUACA
rnacentral:lncRNA from 1 species